UAUCUCUGUAGAGUCUGCAUAUCAAUAACGGAGGAAAAGAAACUAACUAAGGAUUCCCUCAGUAACGGCGAGUGAAGCGGGAAGAGCUCAAAUUUGAAAUCUUCAAGGUUUUACCUUGACGAAUUGUAGUUUAAAGAAGUGUUUUCUGUUGGAGUUUUGGUAAAAGUUCUUUGGAAAUAGGACAUCAUAGAGGGUGAGAAUCCCGUAUUUGACCAUUAUUUCCAACUUUGUGAUACACUUUCAAAGAGUCGGAUUGUUUGGGAAUGCAGUCCAAAAUGGGUGGUAAAUUUCAUCUAAAGCUAAAUACUGGCGAGAGACCGAUAGCGAACAAGUACCGUGAGGGAAAGAUGAAAAGAACUUUGAAAAGGAGAGUUAAACAGGUACGUGAAAUUGUCAAAAGGGAAGCGUUUGACACCAGUGUUGUUUUCUCGAAAAUCAAUUAAAAAAGAUUGGAUUUUGUGUUGUAUUGACUUUAUCAGCUUUCUGCACUCUUUUCUUGUCUUUUUUAAUGCACUUUUCGUUUAACAAGUCAACAUCAAUUUCUUUUGUUGUAAAGGGGUCAUUGGAAGGCGGCUUUCUUUUCGGAGAAAGUGUUUAUAGCCUUUGGCUUCUGCAAUCGGAGAGAUUGAGGUCUGCAGCGUAGAUCCUUCGGGGUUAGAUACAUUUGUGCUAAGUUAUAGCCUUUCAUAGACAACUUGUUGACUAUGAUCAGUCAUGUAGCUUACUCGCUUAUGCUAUUUUACCUACGCUUAGGAUGUUGAUCUCUCACAGUCGAGC
rnacentral:rRNA from 1 species